UCCCUGGUGGUCCAGUGGCUAAGACUCCAUGCUUCCAAUGCAGGGGACCUGGGUUCCAAUCCCUGGUCAGGGAA
rfam:TPA: Bos taurus chromosome 7, whole genome shotgun sequence.